rnacentral:rRNA from 1 species
GGAUGCGAUCAUACCAGCACUAAAGCACCGGAUCCCAUCAGAACUCCAAAGUUAAGCGUGCUUGGGCGAAAGUAGUACUAGAAAGUCCUCGUGUAGCAUUCC